rnacentral:rRNA from 1 species
GAAACUGGUGCUAAUACCGGAUAUCCUUCUUUUCUGCAGGGUAAAGAAGGAAAGGUGGCCUCUUCAUGAAAGCUACCGCAUAGGGAUGAGCCUGCGUACCAUUAGCUAGUAGGUGUGGGUAACGGCCCACCUAGGCAACGAUGGUUAGCGGGUCUGAGAGGAUGAUCCGCCACACUGGAACUGGAACACGGACCAGACUCCUACGGGAGGCAGCAGUGAGGAAUAUUGCGCAAUGGGGGAAACCCUGACGCAGCGACGCCGCGUGAGUGAGGAAGGUCUUCGGAUCGUAAAGCUCUGUCAGAAGGGAAGAAGUGUUAUAUGGUUAACACCCAUAUAAUUUGACGGUACCUUCAGAGGAAGCACCGGCUAACUCCGUGCCAGCAGCCGCGGUAAUACGGAGGGUGCGAGCGUUGUUCGGAAUUACUGGGCGUAAAGGGCGCGUAGGCGGCUUGAUAAGUCAGGUGUGAAAGUCCAUGGCUCAACCGUGGAAGUGCAUUUGAAACUGUCAGGCUUGAGUAUCGGAGGGGA